rnacentral:rRNA from 1 species
GACGAACCUUGCAAACGUUAUUCGGAAUUACUGGGCUUAAAGGGUGCGUAGGCGGUGCAGAAAGUCAGGUGUGAAAUACCUCAGCUUAACUGAGGAAUUGCGCCCGAAACUACUGUGCUAGAGGAAGACAGAGGUAAGCGGAACUUAGGGUGGAGCGGUGAAAUGCGUAGAUAUCGGAAGGAACACCAGUGGCGAAAGCGACUUCCUGGUCCAAUACUGACGUUCAUGUGCGAAAGCGUGGGGAGCAAACAGG